UUCGUUGCAAUUUUCUCAUAUUACCUCAUUCAUGUGAUUUAUGUUCACACAAUAUUAUCAUCGCCAACAAAACAAACAUAAAUAUAUUUUCAAUAAUAUUAAUAUGUGUCACAACUUGAGGUUUGGAUGCUUUAGUUUCCUAGGGUGAGAGCUGCAUUGUGCCCGAAUCCUAGCUCAUACUACGUGCUUAGGGUUUUCAAAAUAAUUUAAUUUUUGGAUUCAAGCGAUAUUAGUGAAGGACAAUCGAAAUUUGGACUUCAGGUACAUGAAUAAUUUAUGGUAAUGUUAAAUAGAUCAUCUAUUUAAAUUAAAUUUUGGAAACUAUAUGAUGUGGUUGUUGAUAAUUGAGAUAAAAUUUUUCAAUGUGCUGGAAAUACGGCUCGGUACACUAAAUGUCAUAAUAAAAUUUGUUAGAAUUUCUUUUUUCAAGUUUCCAACAAAUUGUAUUAUUAUACUUGAUUUGAUGGGUGGUGCUUGCAGUAUACUAAAAAAUCUCUCGAUGAUUGAAUUAUUACUUAAAUAUUGAUUAACGUAUUUAUUUUGUAGAAUAAUAUUAUACCCACCUCAAAUCUUAUUUCUCCAUCCACCUUAUAUUUACACCCAGCAUAAAAAAAACAAAACACGCAUAAACUCUUUUCCCACCCACCGUUACUCCCAAAAUAAUCCUAUAUAUUUCUUCUUCUAAUUUUCCUUGCUUUAAACAAAUAUACCCAACAACUCCAACUCCAAAUAUCAUAGUAGCCCCCUUCCCAGAACCGUCACUAUCAACACACCCAAAUCCCCAACCCCUCUCCCCAAAACACAUCCAGCGCCCCUCCUCACCCAAAAUCCUCGAUCGGCCUCAACGGUGAUAACGCUGAUAACAAACUAUGAAGAAGAACUUAUGAAGAACUCAAGAAAGCUUUCGACGAGAGAGAAUGUAGAGAGAGAAACUGUAUUAUCAUUAUAUCCAACUAUUACAUCAUACAUCCUUAUAAAUACAAUGACACAUAACUGACUUCUAGAGUUCCCAAUACAAUUGUGACACCUGGCAAUGUAAAACAAUACUAAUCUUUUAUCCUAACAUUCCCCCUCAAUUUUAUGCUGGCCAUUGGCUAGCAUAAGAUUGUUACAAUGAGAACUAAACAAAGGAAAACAGAGACCCUUUGUAAGAAUAUCAGCAAACUGUUCAGAUGAGUUAACAAAUUGCAACAUAAUGGUGCCUUGCUGCACUCUUUCCCGCACAAAAUGACAGUCUAUUUCUAUGUGUUUAGCUUUAGAAUGGAGAAUGGGAUUGGUUGCUAAAGCCAUGGCUGAUAUAUUGUCACAAUGGAGUAAAGGAGUUGUGGAAGGAGAUAAAGAUAGAUCCUGAAGUAACUGCUGAAUCCACACAACUUCAGCAGUGGUAGUUGCCAUUGCGCGAUAUUCUGCCUCAGUUGAAGAACGACUAACUGUAUGCUGUUUCUUGGAACUCCAGGAAAUUGGAUUAUCACCUAAAAAUACAACAAAACCAGUGGUUGACCGUCGAUCAUUGGGAUCCCCAGCCCAAUCAGCAUCUGUGUAAGCUCUUAUAUCCAAAUUACCAGGUUGAAAACACAAACCAAGAUGCAGAGAACCUUUGAGAUACCGCAGUAUGCGUUUGACAGCAACAAAGUGACUGUCAAGAGGAGAAUGCAUAAACUGACAUACCUGAUUGACAGAAUAUGCUAUAUCAGGGCGAGUGAAAGUCAAAUACUGUAAUGCCCCGACGAUACUUCUAUAAAGACCGGGAUCAUGGAAUGGAGGACUACCAUGAUUUAAGAGCUUUUGAUGUGGAUGACAGGGAGUGGUACAUGGCUUACUGUCAAACAUAUGUACCUUAUGCAGCAAGUCCCUGAUAUAUUUGGACUGAUGAACUAACAAUCCCUGAGGUUGAUACUCAAUUUGCAGCCCAAGAAAGUAGUGGAGGACCCCUAAGUCCUUCAUAUCGAACUCCCUGGUUAAUUGACUGAUCACAGACUGAACAUGUACAUCAUCAUCACCACUGAGUAUAAUAUCGUCAACAUAUAACAGCAACACAACAAGGGAAGGACCAUCACGUUUUACAUAUAAGGAAAGAUCGGCAUAAGAGGAUGUGAAGCCCAAACUGAGAAGGAAGCUCGAGAACCUUGCAUUCCAAGCACGAGGGGCUUGUUUGAGGCCAUACAAAGACCUUUCUAAUUUGCAAACAAAAUCUGGAUGAUCCUUGUCAAUAAACCCUUGUGGUUGAGACAUAUACACUUCUUCAUCUAGAAAACCAUGCAGAAACGCAUUUUUAACAUCUAAUUGCUUAAGUUUCCAGCCCUUUGUUGCAGCCAAUGAGAGCAUUAACCUAACAGUAGUAGGCUUAACCACGGGGCUGAACGUUUCAUAGUAAUCAAGGCCGGCUUCUUGAGAGAACCCCUUGGCCACUAAACGAGCCUUAUACCGAGCCACAGAUCCAUCAGGAUUUCUUUUGACUUUAUAUAUCCAUUUACAACCCACCAAGUUCUUAUGAGAUGGGAGAGGAACAAGAGUCCAUGUAUGCUGUUUAAUAAGAGCAUCCAUCUCUUCUGUCAUUGCUUGUCUCCACUGAGAUGAUCGAGCAGCAAUACUAAAAGACUGAGGUUCCUUGACAUCUUCGUGAACAACAGCAGAAAAAACCUUCUUUUUGAAAAUCCCUGACUUGGACCUUGUUUUCAUAGGAUGAGUAUUAGAACUGACUACAUAAACAUGUUGCAAAUCUGGAACUUGAGAACUUGUUACAUCAGGAUGAGACUCGGACAGCAACAAUGAAGAUGCAGAACGUGAAGCAGAAUUGUCUCCAGUAGGACCAAGAUCACCAAGUUGCUGAAAAUCGGACAGAGUAACUGAUGGGUGAGAAGAUAUGUGUGGAAAUGGUAUUGGAAUAAAUGGAGGAUGAGAAAAGGUAGUAGGAGGAGCUAGUGAAACUGGAAUUGAUGCAGAAGAGACAGUAGAACUGAAGGAUGAAGAAGACAGACCAUAUGUACUAGGGAAGACAGAUUCAUCAAACAAAACAUGCCUAGAGACAAUUAGUUUAUUAUCACUUAUAGCAUAACAAAUAUACCCCUUAUAUUGAGCAGCAUACCCCAAAAAUAUACACAUAGUGGUCUUAGGAUCAAGUUUAUUGGUUCGAUAAGGUUUUAAGGAAGGGUAACAAGCACAACCAAAAACCCUCAAGUGAUCAAGUGUAGGUGGGGAUUUAUACAACACUUCAAAUGGAGAGUGCAUCUUCAACACGGAAGUAGGUAGUCUAUUAACAAGAUAUGUACUUGUGGCACAUGCAUGAAACCAAAACUUAGAUGAAAGAGAGGCUUUUUGAAGUAAUGUAACAGCAGUUUCAACAAGAUGCCUAUUUUUCCUUUCGGCUAAACCAUUUUGCUCAGGAGUGUAUAGACAAGAUUUUUGAUGGACAAUGCCUUUGGUGGUGAGAAAGUUUUGAAAUCGAGUACUAACAUAUUCCCCUCCCCCAUCACUUUGCAAAACUUUGACAGUUGCAGAAAAAUAAUUUUGAAUAUAGGCAUGAAACUGAACAAAAAAUCUCAAAGACAGCAGCUUUAUUAUUCAUGGGAAAAAUCCAUGUAUAUCUGGUACAUUCGUCAAUAAACGACACAUAAUAGCUAUACCCUUCUAUAGACUUGGUAGGAGAUGGACCCCAUACAUCUGUGUGAAUGACCUCAAGUGGAACAAAAGAUUUGGAAGCCAUUACAGGAAAAAAAGGUAACUUGGUGAACUUGCCUUGGAGACAAGCAGUACAAGUUUGAGAUGGGGAAUUACAAGAGGAAGUAAUAGCUGACUUACUAAGAGCUACUUGUAGAACAGAAUUGGUGGGAUGACCCAAUCGACAAUGCCAAAGAGAAUCAUUUAUUUUCUGUCCAAGAAAAGCUGCAGGAUUAGUCUUUGGUGGUUUGAGAAGUGGAAGAGGAUAGACAGCUUGGUUACUCAGUCCUUGAUAGAGAACCUUGUUGGUGACCUUGUCCUGUAUACACACAGAAAACUCAUCAACAAUACACCUACAAUUGUUGUCUUUGCAUAAUUGAUACAUAGACAGUAAGUGCUGUGACAAUUGUGGAACAUGUAACACAGAAUUUAACUCGAGUGUAUGAGAAGGAGUGGAUAAGCAAGCUUGACCAAUAUAAGAAAUUUGUAAACCUUCACCAUUAGCACCAAUCACAGUUUCUGAUGAAGCAUAUGGAGUAACAGCUUGCAGAUUUGACAAAUCAGAUGUCAUAUGAUUAGUUGCUCCCGAAUCCAGCAACCAAUACUCAUGUGUGGGGGCGGAUGGUGAGAAAUUAGUGCGUGCAGUAAAAGCAGCCUGCGAAUUAUUGGGAGGAGACAUCAUUCCAUUAGGAUACUGUGAUGAAGACAUCAUAGUAGGAUGCUGCACGGGAGAUGAAAAUGAAGGUGAAGAGUGAGGAUGGGGCUGCAACUGUGAAGAAUUCUGAGAAUAUGAAUGCUGCGGAAACAUCAUAGGAGAUGAGGAGAAAGUAGACAUAGGCAGAGAUCCAGUAUUGUUCCUGUCAAAGCAAGUGGCAGCUGUGUGCCCUUUUCUGUGGCAGAUUUGGCAGCCAUUCUGAAAGCAGUUCAAAGCUACAUGGCCCUUUUUAUCACAUAUUUGACAAAUCAGCAGUGGUUGAAAAGAUUGUCCCGAAGCCAUUUGAGAUCCAGAAUUCUGAAACUGAGACUGUGACGGAAGAAAGGGUUGAGCAAAGUGUUGAUGUCCAGAAGGUUGUUGAAAACCAGUGUUAAACCUUUUCCCUUUACCCUUGUUUCGAUAGUUAGUCCCCCUGAAAUUGUUGUAAGUUCUAGAACCAGUCUGAGAAACAAAAGCAACAUGACCAUUGGGAAAUGGCAAUUGUUGAAACUGAGCCAUUGGUGAAAAUGAAGAACCACCAGUAUAUGGACCAGUAUGAGAACCCAGAUCAAAGUUUCCAGUAUAUGGACGAGAAUUGGAAGAUCCACCAGUUUCAUAAGUUGUGUUGGAAGCAUUAGCAAACAUAGCUGCCAUUAAAUGUGGUUGUUUAAGACCUUCUUCCAAAGUAGACUCAUCUGCCUUCAAUUGAGACCGAAGUUCCUUCAAGGAGACCAAACUUUCUCUGCCCCGAAUCACAGACUUAAUGGUAUUGUAGUCUGUAGGUAAUCCUCUUAAAGCCACAAUCACAAUAUCUUCAUCAGAAAUCACAACACCAGCAAUAGCUAACUGAUCCCUACAUUCUUUAAUCCUCUGCAAGUAAGCAUCAAUCGAUUCUGACCCCUUCUUAAUGUUCUGCAGAUCAAUCUUCAGUUGAACAAUACUAGUGCGAGACAUAUGAGCAAAUCUUUCUUUCAAAUGAUUCCACAUAUCACUGGAGCUUCGACAUCCAAUAACACAAGAUAAAGCAGCAGUAGAUAGUGUGGCAGUUAUCAAGGUCAUAAGAGCUUUAUCAUGAAUUUGCCAAACUUGAUAGGCAUCAGUCAGUGGAGAAUUAUGUACAAUCGACUCAUCAUCAGACUCCAACUCAGUAUAUUUCUGAGGACAAGGAAUUGUGCCAUCAAGAAAUCCCAUAAUUCCAUUCCCUUCUAGUAACAAAGAAAUCUGGAAAUUCCAAGUAACAUAAUUGGAAUCAUCCAAUUUCACAGUCACCGUGUUUCCAACACUAGGUAUAAGCGACGAAAUUGGAGAUUGAGUGAGGGCUAAUUGUGCAGCCGUAACCAUAAUGCAAGAACAAGAAUCAAUAGAUCAAGAAAGCAACAGAGAAACUGAAGGAUUUAUUUUGAAAAACAUGUUCAUUUGAAUAACAUCUAUAGCAUGCAAUUAACAAAUUAAAGGCGGAAUCAUGCUUGUAUGCAUUCAAAAACAAAACAUUACCCAUGAAAUUCAAAGCCUAGUAUUGGUGAACCAAUAAUCAACUCAAAACAAAGUGAGUUGAAAUUAAUACCUUUGUAGAUUCCUCUUUGCAUAAGCAAAGGCUAAUCACCCAAAGAGAUAGGGCCUUCAUUCCUUGCUUCUUAGAUCCAUGGAUUUGGAUGGAAGAAUAGGUUCUCCAAGUUCCCAAAAUUGAGAACCUCUAAGUCUCUUCACCAAGGUUUGAUUGUAGAAGAAAUGAGUGACCUUGGAGUAGUAGGAUUGCUAGAUGUACCCUCCAAGGUGUUGGCCUCUUUAGAGAGAAAAUGGAGAGACAAUUCUCACCCAUUUUCACCCAAAAUAAACCCUUAAUCACAUUAAUGAAUAUUUGGCUAUAAAGUUCUUUAUAUAGUCACUUCUUUAAGUGACCUAAACAACCAAAACCCUAAUUCAUCACCAUAUGGCCGGCCACCUAAGGAAUUUUGGGCUUUUGGGCUUUAAUGAAUCUUUAUUCAUUAAAUUGUCAUACAACUUAAGUUAAUGGGCUUGACGUUCGAAGCCCAUUGGGCCUUAAGGUCCAAAACUAUCCCGAGGUCUUUAACGAACUUAUUCGUUUGAUUAAUUAACAUAUUAAUUAAUCCUUGCCAUAAAUAAAUGAUUAAACCAUUUAAUCAUUCUUACUCAUUUCCGUUUAAUCUUCAAUCUCCACCUUUUAUGGUGUGCGAUCCAUUAGGUUCCUUUUAGCGAGGCAGUGGGCGAUUAAAACAAUUUUACAUCGAUUGUGAAUUGAAACAAUUUUCAAUUCUCCCUUUAGUGGUUAUACACGUAUAGGGCUUCCACAAACCAUGGUUGACGCCUAGCAGCAUGUCAUGGUUACCCAAGCUAAUCAGAAGAGGUUAGAGAACCUAUUCAGUUCGGGAUUACAAAUGCAAUACGGUCCUUCUCUAAUCUAAUACUCUUGACCACAUUGUUUGGUAUGAUAGUUUAUUUACUCAUGUCUACUAUCCAAUGUGAAUCGUUUGCUUAUAUGAUUUCCUUGAAUGUGAUUUGGAACGCAUUCCCCAAUCUCAUUCAUACUCUGGCCAGAGAUUCCAAAUCAUAUCAUAAAGUAUUCUCCCUCAACUGUUUGAAGGUUAGAGAUCCCUUGUUGCGCAUUUACUUGUCUCCAUAGCUAAGUGGCUUAACCCCAACGAUGCCGUGACACCCCUAGGGGGUGAAUUAGACAUAAUCAAAGAUUAAGGACUUAACCACAAGACAACUGUGAUGCCUCAGGUCAAAUGACUACUUUGCAUUAUCCCAACCAUGAGUUCUCAUGUGACAUGGAAUAUAAGAACUCUUCGUUGAUCACGUUCAGUGAACUCAUUCUCUUAUUGAGCACCUACGUACUUGUCUUGAUGUCACACACACCAAUGACUCGAGACUAGUCACUCUCCCUGAGAGAAGACACAGUACGUACUGAUCUUAACGGACUGUCAAUGCCCAAUUGGUAAUCCUAUGAUCAGGAACAUUUAGGAUGUGUCUACGAAAGAAUGGUCUCAUUAAUCUAACUUCAUUAGAUUGCAUUCUCCCAAUCACAUAUUCCUUGGACUUUAUCGUUUAAGCAUAUAACAUUUAUAUGAGACGGCUCAAACAAUAAUCUUUGCCCUUUAUAUGUUAAACUAGAUUAGUUUAACAUUUGAAAUGUCCGUAAAGUAUCAUCAUAUGAUUGGUUUUAGGGCACAUUUCCAACAGAAACACCUCAAGAAUCACUCAGCAAGAAGUACCACAAAACAAUAAUUGUGAUAGACAAAAUCUUGCAAAUAUCAAUACGGAGAAAUCGAAAGAAAACACCUCAAGAUGAUCACGACGGCAGCUGCAAAGAUCAACGAACAAAUCAACCGUUGACGACUACAGAACAAACAACCAACAAGAAGAAACUCCACCGACUUAGAGCACCAGACUACACGAAUCACGACACGGCAGUAGCUGCACAGAACGACGAACAGAUCAACAGUCUCCAAUGGCAGAACGAACAACCGACAAGAAGAAAUGCCACCGACUUAGGGUUUGAGAAAUCAACACUUCUCUGAAAUUGCGAACAACCAGUAAGGAUCCGAUGUCGGUCACCGGAACAACCACGACCACGACGACUACGACUACGACGACGACGACGACGAGCGGAAGCACAGGAAUCGUUAAUCACAGGUGUUAACCAUGGCAGGCGAAGAUACCAUGAUAACGCUGAUAACAAACUAUGAAGAAGAACUUAUGAAGAACUCAAGAAAGCUUUCGACGAGAGAGAAUGUAGAGAGAGAAACUGUAUUAUCAUUAUAUCCAACUAUUACAUCAUACAUCCUUAUAAAUACAAUGACACAUAACUGACUUCUAGAGUUCCCAAUACAAUUGUGACACCUGGCAAUGUAAAACAAUACUAAUCUUUUAUCCUAACAAACGGCGCGUUUGUGGAAUUGGGAGAUGGUUUUCGAGUCCCCAUUUGAUCGAGUCGGAGGAGGAUCGCAAAGGAGAUCAAUGGACGGGAUGGGCUUGCCAUUUGAGCACAGCCUCGACGUGUUUGGCAAAGGUCUCAGCCAUGGCGAGCGAGACGAUCGGUGAGAAAGCCAAUGCAUAACAGAAAGGGAGAGGAGAAAUAGAGGGGGGAGGAAGAAGGAUGAGUGUUUGGGGUUGAAGCAGUGAGGUGGGAAAUUAAAAUGGGGUGAAGUUGUGGAAGCUGAGGUCGGGGAGGGUGAUGGUUAUGAGGUUUUUCAGGUUUUAUGUUUUUUCAUGUUCAAAAAAGCUUUAAGUCCAGCUGUAUAAUAAUUGCAUAUGUGUUAACUUUUGGGUGGAAGUUAUGUCUAUGGUAAUACUGUAACUGUAUUACCGCCUUUCUUUAAUAAUUUAGGAAAAUGAAGGAUCCUUUCCUUGGAGAUCCCGAGAAUCCCGUGAUCGGGAUCAGUCAUCGUACAUUAUAUGGUCAGAAAUUAUUUUAAAAUUUUAAAAUUUAAAAUUAAAUAUAAAAUAGUACUUAAUGAAAAUUGACAGCACAAUGUACGAUAAACGGUCACGAUUACAGAAUUCCCAAGAAAAGGAUCCAGCGAGGAUCAUUUUCCAAUAAUUUAGAGUAAUGCUAGGGAGACUAAAUUUUAAAAACUAAAUAACAUGUAAGUUCAUGAUUAAUUUAUUACUUAAGGGUUGAUAAACGUGCUCAUUUCUAUUGAUGACACAUCAUUUAGUUUGCUAAUUUAAUCUCUUUAGCAUUACUCAAUAAUUUAUCCUAAUUGUGGAGGUGAAGGGGGUUGUGGCAAGAUAUGAUUGAUUGGUCUUUUAAGUAAAAUGAUUUUAUACAAAGACAAAUUUGUCAAUAAAAAUACUAUUUCAAAGUGGGUGAAGAGAUAAAACAUUGGAAUAAGCUUAGUAGUACUUAUUUUGAUUGGUGACACAUUUACAAAUUGGAUAAGUUGAUUUCCUUAGUAUUACUAGUUAACCCUUUUUAGUUUUUCCCGAAC
rnacentral:lncRNA from 1 species